UCCCUGGCAGUCCAGUGGUAAGGAGUUGGCACUUUCACUGCCAUGGCCUGGGUUCAAUCCUUGGUUGGGGAA
rnacentral:tRNA from 1 species